GCCAAGCCGUAAAACCUACCCACACCACCAACGCCAGGGAACUACUAGCUAAGCUUAAAACCCAAAGGACUUGACGGUGUCCCACCCUUCUAGAGGAGCCUGUUCUAUAACCGAUAAUCCACGUUAUACCCUACCAUUUCUUGCUUUUCAGCCUGUAUACCUCCGUCGUAAGCUUGUCAUAUGAACGCACAACAGCAAGCUCAAGGACCCAACGCCAAUACGUCAGGUCAAGGUGCAGCUUAUGAAAUGGAAAGCAAUGGGCUACAAUUUCUACCUUAGAACAUACGAAAGACUACAUGAAAACCCAGUCACGAAGGCGGAUUUAGCAGUAAAUGGGGGAUAGAAAACCCCAUUUAACCUGGCCCUGGGACGCGUACAAACCGCCCGUCACCCUCUUCAAUAGUAUUUCACCACGUAUCAUAACCCCAACCCACGUCUUAGAAGAGGCAAGUCGAAACAUGGUGAGUGUACCGGAAGGUGCACUUGGAACAACAAAAUGUAGCUUAAUAAAAGCCCCUCGCUUACACCGAGGAAAUGUCUGUGCACCCGGAUCAUUUUGAGCCCACUAUCUAGCCCCAACCACAAUUUUUAUCCACCACCCAAAGUUAAUAAAAUAAAACAUUUUAGCUAUUUAGUAGAGGCGAUCAAAAUCUACCUAGGCGCUUUAGAAAGAGUACCGCAAGGGAAAGAUGAAAUAAAAAUGAAAUAACUCCGAAGCCUAAAGUAACAGAGACACUCACUCGUACCUUUCGCAUCAUGGCCUAGCAAGCUCAAACAAGCAAAGCGAAAACUUUUAGUUUGCCCUCCCGAAACUAAGCGAGCUACUUCAAAACAACUUCAAGAGCCAACCCGUCUCUGUGGCAAUAGAGUGGGAAGAUUUUCUAGUAGAGGUGACAGGCCUACCGAGCUUAGAAAUAGCUGGUUACUCAGGAAAAGAAUCUUAGUUCUGCCUUAAAUCCCUUCACGUCGUCAAGCAACCAAGAAUUUAAGAGUUACUCAAUUAAGGCACAGCUUACUUGAAACAGGAUACAACCUAGACAAAGGGGUAAAACCCUCAAUCUCAUAUGCCGUAGGCCCAAAAGCAGCCACCCUUAAAAAGCGUCAAAGCUUAGUAUGAUUCACUCCCCCUCCCACUAACAACCAUGAACCCCUCAUCACCACUGAGUGAUUCCAUAAUUAUAUGGUAAACACCAUGCUAGGACUAGUAACAAGAAUUUAUAAUUCUCCAAAGUGUAAGCAUAAACCAGAAUGGACGCCCCACUGGUAAUUAACGAAAAUGAAUCAACUGCAACAACAUCAAAACAAGAAAAUACUGCAACCAACUCCGUUAACCUAACACUAGAGCACUUCGGGAAAGAUUAACAGACGGGGAAGGAACUCGGCAAACUCCAACCCCGCCUGUUUACCAAAAACAUCGCCUCUUGACUCCAUAAGAGGUCCAGCCUGCCCAGUGACAAGUUCAACGGCCGCGGUACCCUAACCGUGCAAAGGUAGCAUAAUCACCUGUUCUUUAAAUGAGGACUCGUAUCAACGGCACCACGAGGGUUGCACUGUCUCCCCCCUCUAAUCAGUGAAACUGAUCUCCCCGUGAAGAAGCGGGGGUACAACUAUAAGACGAGAAGACCCCAUGGAGCUUAAAACCCAACGGCAACUCAACCCCACGCACUUCCCCGCACCAAGAGAGCAUGCCUAACGGUUUUAGGUUGGGGCGACCACGGAGUAAAAACCAACCUCCAUGACGAAAAGA
rnacentral:misc_RNA from 1 species